CAAGGAAUUUUCCCCAAUGGGCGCAAGCCUGAGGGAGCAACGCCGCGUGCAGGCCGACGGCCUUCGGGUUGUAAACUGCUUUUGCGUGGGACGAUAACGACGGUACCACGCGAGUAAGCACCGGCUAACACUGUGCCAGCAGCCGCGGUAAUACAGAGGGGGCAAGCGUUGUCCGGACUUACUGGGCGUAAAGCGCACGCAGGUGGUAAGGCAAGACGGGUGUGAAAGCCGCCAGCUUAACUGGCGGAGGCCAUCCCAAACUGCUUCACUUGAGGCCUGUAGAGGUAUGUGGAAUUGCCGGUGUAGUGGUGAAAUGCGUAGAGAUCGGCAGGAACACCCAGGGGGAAACCAGCAUACCGGACAGGACCUGACACUCAGGUGCGACAGCGUGGGGAGCGAACCGUAUUAGAUACCCCCGUAGUCC
rnacentral:rRNA from 1 species